UAGUCAACCUUCCCNUGGAGACAAGGUUAACCCCGGGAAACUGGGAUUAAUCCUGGAUAGGUCAUUUCAUCUGGAAUGGAGAGAUGGCUUAAAGGGGUACUAGGGCUUCUUCCAUGCAUCUGCUCCAGGAUGGGACUGCGUCCGAUCAGGCUGUUGGCGGGGUAAUGGCCCCACCAAACCUGUAACCAGUACGGGCCUUGAGAGAGGGGGCCCGGAGAUGGACACUGAGAGAAGGGUCCAGGUCCUACGGGGCGUCAGCAGGCGCGAUAA
rnacentral:rRNA from 1 species